rnacentral:lncRNA from 10 species
UACACGUUUUCUGAAAUAUCAAUCUUAAAAGAAAAUGGAUUGGGCAACCUUGAAAGAAAAUAAGAUCUCAGUAUCUAGAAAAACGGUGAAAUGUGAAUAAGGAGAGACAACAGAGGAUGAUACCCAUCAAAUAUAUGGAAAAUAUGGCAUGUGAAUGUCAACACAACCCAAAUUAUCAGUAAAAAAGAAAAUACAAAUAAAAGUAAAAUAAUGCAUGUUGGGAGGCUCUGAACACAAAAAUGGAUGAGAAACGAUGACAACCUCGUAUCAGUGGAGACCCUAGUGUUUAGAUUAUGGUCAUUAAUACCAUUUUUCCACUGACAAGAAUUUGAACUCUUUAGCAAUGUAACUAAUUUCAGGAUGAUGCACAGAGAGUACCAAACCAUCCCUGAUUAUAUUGUUGGGCCAAAAGGCAAAGGAAGCAAAGAUUGCUGGAGUUUUGUGAAAAGGACACACAAAAAAAGUUAUAACUUUGAGUAAUACAUCUCAUCCAUCUAUGGAAUAGAAGAUGAAGAGGAAACCACACCUAAAACUGAAGAAUACGCAUUCUUUUCAAAGACUC